GGUAAACAUAACCGAAACAACAAUUAAAAAAAUUUGUAAGAGGUUCAGAUUCAUUUUCGUCCAUCAUGAGAAGAAGACACCAUAUGUCUACCUUCUUCUUGCCUGGAUCCAACCUAAGAGGUAGACAUGGCUGCAGUGGUUGCUACAUGGGCCAUCCAAACUGCCCCGCCAUCAACCUGUUUUGGUUGGAAAACAGAGCAUUGAAGAGAGGUGACAAUGGUCAUGCUUCAUCCAUACCAUAUGGAUCUAGGCUUCAGCAUCACCAUGAACAGUCAAUCUGAGUUUGAACACCAACAUGGUGAAUGAUCGAAACCAUCAUUUAUUUUAAUUUCAUCAUCAUCACCUCUUAGUGAAUCAACAGAAGUAGUAAGAAAUUAACCAAGCACUAUGAAGAGAAAAUUAGGGAGAAAAUAAAUCUUCAAUAUUAGAAAGGGAAAAAAGAAGAGUGAAGACGAUUAUUUCAAAAACAUCAAUUAUUUCCUCAUCGCAAGACUACAUCUUCAGCAUCACCAUGAACAACCGAUCUGAGUUCGAACAUCAACAUGGUGAAUGGUCGAAACCAUCAUUUAUUUUAAUUUCAUCAUCAUCACCUCUUACGGAAUCAAUAGAAAUAGUAAGAAACUAAACAAGAAAUGUGAAGCGAAAAUUAGGGGAAAACUAAAUUUUCAAUAUUAGAAAGGAAAAAGAAGGAUGAGAGAAGACAACCUUUUCAAAGCUGUCAAUUAUUUCCUCAUUGCAAGACUACAUCCUCUGAUCCCCAAAUGUCUUAUGUUGUGUACUAAACUAACCAGCUAGCAAGGAUGACAUCACCACAAUCCAAGCCAACCAUUGUAAUUACCUUUCCUUCCCCCAUUAUCAGAUAGAUCCCUUCGAUUAUGAACAAAUAUGAUACUCCCAAUAGAUCCUCCUCUUUUCCAUUACAUUUUUAAUUGUAGUAAUCAUAUGAGUGAAUAGACAAGAAAAUCUUGGUUCCAACAAAUUAAUUCACAGAAUAAAACAAAAAAACAAAUUCUGCACAAGAGAACAACAAGACCAAAUCGACAUAAUGAGCAGAAACACCAAAGACUAACUAACCGAAUUCCAAAAACAAAAUCAUGAUACCACAAAAUUUUUCACUGAUAUCAUGACAUGGACUUAUACCAACCUUUUGUAUACGAUAAAUCAUGGUAUAAAAAGAUACUAAUUUUCCCAAACAAUAUGACCAACUGUUGUUUCAAAUUUCAAUAAAAUGCACAAAUGACAAACUAUAAAAUUUCAUGUCCUUAAGAUAUACAUAACACUUAAUUGCACAUUUACAUAACAAUUCACCACUACACAGACAUUUAACUUAACACAACUGCCAGAUCAUAUGACCAAAUAAAUUCUGAAUAGUAUAUAAACUCCAAACAGCAAUAAAUUCUGUACUUCUUUGCAAACAGUGUAGAUUCACAAACACUAAAAUUGUGUCAAACCUUCACUCAAAGGGCAUUAUUUGUUGUCAAUUCCAGACAAAUUUCUAGGACCAACGUAUAUUAUGGCCAAAACAACUAUUUAUAACUUGCAUCAAUAUGUCUUACUCACGUAUCAGUGAAGAUUAUUAGAAAAACUAUAUUGUUGAGGGAGAGGCAAUUGAAAGAAACAAGAAGAAUAAGUAGCAAACAUCCAAACUUAACACACGAAUGUAUUUGGACCCACCAUUAAUAAAGGAUGAUUGAAUAUGAUCAUUGGAACAGAAGAUGUUCUUGGUAAAUAACCAUAGAAGUGCGACUACUCAAUUAAAGAUUUUAAACUAUACAACUAAAGUGGAGUAAUCUUCAAAAGCAAUCAUCCACAAUAUCUACUCAAUUAAAUAAGGAUCCCAUAUAAAAUUUGAACCACUAGAGAAGAAUAUAUUGGCUGGGGCAGACAACAUUGAUCAGAUUAUAUCAUCCGGUCCAACCAACAAAAGAAAGAGGGCAACAAUUUUAUCAACACAAUUCCAAACGAUGCCGCCUGAACAAGCAUUUAUGCAAAUUGUAAAAAGAAUCAUUUUACUUAUGAGACAGAGAUACACCAUCCAAACCUUAAAUAACAUAUAAAUACCAAUAGCAGUGCUACAGAAAAUAAGAGAACAGUUCAUCUGAAAAAGAGAGAAGCAACCAACAACUACCUCCACACUUCGUUUAGGAUCUUUAGAUGCCUCAUUGCUUCAAACAAUAACGACACAUCCAAACAUGAAAUCGCUUUGCAAGUAUAGAUCUACGAAAAAGUGAUAAAAAAAAUACCUCCCAAUGAUAGUUCAUUCAAACAAGAAACCCUAUUAC
rnacentral:lncRNA from 1 species